rnacentral:rRNA from 1 species
GAUGAACGCUGGCGGCGUGCUUAACACAUGCAAGUCGAACGAUGAAGCCCAGCUUGCUGGGUGGAUUAGUGGCGAACGGGUGAGUAACACGUGAGUAACCCGCCCUUAACUCUUGGAUAAGCCUGGGCAAAUGGGUCUAAUACCGGAUAGGAGCGUCCACCGCAUGGUGGGUGUUGGGAAGAUUUAUCGGUUUUGGAUGGACUCGCGGCCUAUCAGCUUGUUGGUGAGGUAAUGGCUCACCAAGGCGACGACGGGUAGCCGGCCUGAGAGGGUGACCGGCCACACUGGGACUGAGACACGGCCCAGACUCCUACGGGAGGCAGCAGUGGGGAAUAUUGCACAAUGGGCGCAAGCCUGAUGCAGCGACGCCGCGUGAGGGAUGACGGCCUUCGGGUUGUAAACCUCUUUCAGUAGGGAAGAAGCGAAAGUGACGGUACCUGCAGAAGAAGCACCGGCUAACUACGUG